CGUGUAGGCUGCCCCGCAAGUCGGAUGUGAAAGCCCUGGGCUCAACCUAGGAAGAGCAUUCGAAACUGCGGGGCUGGAGUCCUGGAGAGGAAAGCGGAAUUCUCGGUGUAGAGGUGAAAUUCGUAGAUAUCGAGAGGAACACCGGUGGCGAAGGCGGCUUUCUGGACAGUGACUGACGCUGAGACGCGAAAGCGUGGGGAGCAAACA
rnacentral:rRNA from 1 species